AAAAUCUAAUCUAAUACUAUAAAGAAGAAGUGAACUCUCUUCUAGAGAGGACACGUCAUCAAAUACUCUCCUCCAUACGUGACACGUGCUCACUAAACCAAAACGCUGUGCUUCAUUUAACUCAUUCGGCAAUGUAUGUGGGUUUGUUGUGUGAUUGGGCUUUAUAUUUUCCUAUGCAUUCCAAGCCCAUCUGUGUUAAACCCUAAUAAACUUAAUAAUCUGUGAUGUAAUUGUUGACAGUUAGUUUCCACCGUCUUUCUUCUCUUCUCUCAGACUGUUCAUUACUAUCGUCAAACCUCACUCUGAAAUGUGUUAAACAUAGAUGCCGGCGAAAAUCUGUUAGACCCGGCAGCAGUGUCUUUUCGACUGAUUUCCAACUCACCGGCAAAAGGAUUCCGGUAACGUUACGAAAAUUAGAAGUAUCCAAUGGUCAUCUUUAACACCCUGAUUAACUACAUCUCCAGUUCCCCACACAAUUUGGCAUUCAAUGCAUCUUCCAUUACUGCCCAUUCUGUGAAUCAUCCACUAUAAAUAGCUGGUCGUUGCACCACCACCACCGUGGGGUUCUACCUGCUUAGGUUUUAGGAGGCAAAAAACAUGAAGCAUGCGGCUGAGCUUCUGGGUGUAAACAUGUUCAUCCUGGACACAAAGGUAAUUCCGGCGAGCAAUUCAUGAUCUUCGAUCUGUUUCUCGAAAAGUUGUAGAUUCCAAGUAUAAAUGAUUGUGAAGGUUUGUUUAUUCUUAUCAAAAUCUGGAACAACUUUGGCUCA